UCAACCAGCGUUCUCUAGAGCGGUGGAUCCCAAAUGCCAUCUGAGGACCAGCAACAGCAGCAGCAUCCGGGGUUAAUGGAGUCAUGGUGACACUGAAAAUUCUUCCUGUGUUGGCAUCUGAUAGAGGAUUUGAAACCGAAUGUUGAACUCAUGUUAGGAAAGUGAAGCAGCAGGUUCUCUGGAGAGAGAUGGUCUCUGCAUAGCAGAAAUGGAGUUCCCCCAAGGGAAGCGAGUCUGGCUGCUGGGGCGCUGGCUUCCUCACUCAGACACCAGAGAGGGAGCUUUCUUCCACAUUGUCAUCUGAAGAUUUCUCAUUAUUAGACUCUCUCAGCGCACCCAGAAUGGGACAUGGUGGGUCUGCAGAAAAGGAAACAGUGUUUCCAGAUCCUUCUAGACACAUGCUUAGUGCAUUAAAGGAAAAUCAUUCACAGUCUAAAUGGGUGUUUUCCUAGGAUAAUGUGUUGGAGGGCUCUGAACCCCAGAAGCUUCACACCUAGAGCUCUUCAGAUCUACCCUUGGUCAUUGACAUCCCAGCAUGAAUCAGUGACUCAGUCCUUCCA
rnacentral:lncRNA from 1 species